GGGGGGUGCAAGCGUUGUUCGGAAUUAUUGGGCGUAAAGCGCGUGUAGGCGGUUUGAUUAGUCUGAUGUGAAAGCCCUGGGCUCAACCCAGGAAGUGCAUUGGAUACUGUCAGACUUGAAUACGGGAGAGGGUAGUGGAAUUCCUAGUGUAGGAGUGAAAUCCGUAGAUAUUAGGAGGAACACCGGUGGCGAAGGCGGCUACCUGGACCGAUAUUGACGCUGAGACGCGAAAGCGUGGGUAGCAAACAGGAUUAGAUACCCUGGUAGUCCACGCCGUAAACGAUGAGAACUAGGUGUUGCGGGUAUUGACCCCUGCAGUGCCGCAGCUAACGCAUUAAGUUCUCCGCCUGGGAAGUACGGUCGCAAGACUA
rnacentral:rRNA from 1 species